UGUAGUAUGUUCGUACAGCUAUAUAACGCGAGUUUGAUCUACGCUUUACUGAGCACUUCUAAACAGAGGACCUUCUGGAAGCAUCUGAGCGUCAGCUAUUCCGUAGUUCGCCAAACGAGAAAGACAUGCAGCUCAAAGUGAUGAUUGUGGGCCUGGCCAUAUUUGGACUUAUUGUGGCAGAGAGCGGUGCCAUGCCUGCCGGCAGCGUCAGUGAAGCCGAGGCCAGGGCUGAUCCCGAGACUGCUGAGCGUGCCGAGCAGACCAACGCCGAGGAGGCACGCAUCAGCGAGGCAUGCCUAAAGUCCCUGUGCGGGUAGUUCCCUCACGGAAAACGGUGGCACCUUGGAAGGAACUGCUCUGCCCAUAUAAGCAUGACCACUUCGAAAGAAUUUCAACAAGUUUCCAGCGCGCAGCACCA